CUACGGGACGCACCAGUGGGGAAUAUUGGACAAUGGGGGAAACCCUGAUCCAGCAAUGCCGUGUGUGUGAAGAAGGCCUGCGGGUUGUAAAGCACUUUCGGUUGGGAGGACUGCUUCUAGCACUAAUAUUGUUGGAAGUUGACGUUACCUUCAGAAGAAGCACCGGCUAACUCCGUGCCAGCAGGCCGCGGUAAUACGGAGGGUGCAAGCGUUAAUCGGAAUUACUGGGCGUAAAGCGCGCGUAGGCGGCUAGAUCAGUCGGGUGUGAAAGCCCCGGGCUUAACCUGGGAACUGCAUCCGAUACUGUCUAGCUUGAGUACAGGAGAGGAGAGUGGAAUUCCACAUGUAGCGGUGAAAUGCGUAGAUAUGUGGAGGAACACCAAUGGCGAAGGCAGCUCUCUGGCCUGAUACUGACGCUGAGGUGCGAAAGCGUGGGGAGCAAACAGGAUUAGAUACCCCCGUAGUC
rnacentral:rRNA from 1 species